GACGAACGCUGGCGGCGUGCUUAACACAUGCAAGUCGAACGGAAAGGCCCUGCAUUUGUGGGGUGCUCGAGUGGCGAACGGGUGAGUAACACGUGAGUAACCUGCCCUUGACUUUGGGAUAACUUCAGGAAACUGGGGCUAAUACCUGAUAGGAGCUCCUGCUGCAUGGUGUGGGUUGGAAAGUUUCGGCGGUUGGGGAUGGACUCGCGGCUUAUCAGCUUGUUGGUGGGGUAGUGGCUUACCAAGGCUUUGACGGGUAGCCGGCCUGAGAGGGUGACCGGCGACAUUGGGACUGAGGUACGGCCCAGACUCCUACGGGAGGCAGCAGUGGGGAAUAUUGCACAAUGGGCGGAAGCCUGAUGCAGCAACGCCGCGUGCGGGAUGACGGCCUUCGGGUUGUAAACCGAUUUCGCCUGUGACGAAGCGUGAGUGACGGUAAUGGGUAAAGAAGCACCGGCUAACUACGUG
rnacentral:rRNA from 1 species